GCUCCCGGGAGGUUAAACACCUGGCGGGGUUUGAAGGGGCGGUGGGUAACCGGGCCGGGAACAGGGAUACACCUCCGAGAAGACGGUCGGCAAUACCGGAUAGUUCCUUGUACCCCGGGGGGGAUAAAGGCAUGAAAGAACCUUUUCGGCUAUCACUUUUAUGAUGGUACCCCGUACCCAUUAGCUUGUUGGGGCCUUAACGGCUCACCAGGGCGACGAGGCGUAGCCCACCUGAAAAGGGGAUCGGCAAAUCUGGGACUGACCCCCGGCCCAGACUCCUACGGGAGGCAGCAGUAGGGAAUCUUCCGCAAUGGACGAAAGUCUGACAGAGCGGCUCCGCGUGAGUGAUGAAGGUUUUCGGAUCUUAAAGCUCUGUUGUUAAGGAAGAACAAGUGCAASAGUAACUGCUUGCCMCUUGACGGUACCUAACCAGAAAGCCACGGCUAACUACGUGCCAGCAGCCGCGGUAAUACGUAKGUGGCAAGCGUUGUCCGGAAUUAUUGGGCGUAAAGGGCUCGCAGGCGGUUUCUUAAGUCUGAUGUGAAAGCCCCCGGCUCAMCCGGGGAGGGUCAUUGGGAAACUGGGAAACUUGAGUGCAGAARAGGAGASUGGAAUUCCACGUGUAGCGKUGAAAUGCGUAGAGAUGUGGAGGAACACCAGUGGCGAAGGCSACUCUCUGGUCUGUAACUGACGCUGARGAGCGAAAGCGUGGGGAGCGAACAGGAUUAGAUACCCUGGUAGUCCACGCCGUAAACGAUGAGUGCUAAGUGUUAGGGGGUUUCCGCCCCUUAGUGCUGCAGCUAACGCAUUAAGCACUCCGCCUGGGGAGUACGGUCGCAAGACUGAAACUCAAAGGAAUUGACGGGGGCCCGCACAAGCGGUGGAGCAUGUGGUUUAAUUCGAAGCAACGCGAAGAACCUUACCAGGUCUUGACAUCCUCUGACAACCCUAGAGAUAGGGCUUUCCCUUCGGGGACAGAGUGACAGGUGGUGCAUGGUUGUCGUCAGCUCGUGUCGUGAGAUGUUGGGUUAAGUCCCGCAACGAGCGCAACCCUUGAUCUUAGUUGCCAGCAUUCAGUUGGGCACUCUAAGGUGACUGCCGGUGACAAACCGGAGGAAGGUGGGGAUGACGUCAAAUCAUCAUGCCCCUUAUGACCUGGGCUACACACGUGCUACAAUGGACAGAACAAAGGGCUGCGAGACCGCAAGGUUUAGCCAAUCCCACAAAUCUGUUCUCAGUUCGGAUCGCAGUCUGCAACUCGACUGCGUGAAGCUGGAAUCGCUAGUAAUCGCGGAUCAGCAUGCCGCGGUGAAUACGUUCCCGGGCCUUGUACACACCGCCCGUCACACCACGAGAGUUUGCAACACCCGAAGUCGGUGAGGUAACC
rnacentral:rRNA from 1 species